GAUGAAGAACGUAGCGAAAUGCGAUACUUGGUGUGAAUUGCAGAAUCCCGUGAACCAUCGAGUCUUUGAACGCAAGUUGCGCCCGAAGCCAUUAGGCCGAGGGCACGCCUGCCUGGGCGUCACACGUCGUUGCCCCCCCAUCUACUCCUUCGGGAUUGCGGGGAGCGGAUGAUGGCCUCCCGUGCGCCUUGUCGCGCGGUUGGCAUAAAUGCCAAGUCCUCGGCGACGCACGCCACGACAAUCGGUGGUUGCGAAACCUCGGUUGCCCGUCGUGUGCGGUCGUCGCGCAUCGAGGGCUCGAAAAAAUUGUCGGGCUCCGGCUCGGCUUUCAACGCGACCCCAGGUCAGGCGGGGUUACCCGCUGAGUUUAAGCAUAUCAAUAAGCGGAGGA
rnacentral:misc_RNA from 1 species